rnacentral:rRNA from 1 species
UGAAAUCUCACCAGGCCCGGACACUGGAAGGAUUGACAGAUUGAUAGCUCUUUCUUGAUUCGGUGCGUGGUGGUGCAUGGCCGUUCUUAGUUGGUUGAGUGAUUUGUCUUGUUAAUUCCGAUAACGAACGAGACUCUGUCCUGCUAAAUAGUGGCUUAAUUUGACUCAACGCGGGAAAUCUCACCAGGCCCGGACACUGGAAGGAUUGACAGAUUGAUAGCUCUUUCUUGUUAGCAAUAA